rnacentral:rRNA from 1 species
AUGCUGUUCAAAUGUAGGUUCUCCAUUCGCAUCUGGAACACGGUCAAAUCUUGGAUAGGGGCGCUGGAGAUUGACACCGUUGCGUGGUCAGGCGUUUCCUCGGUCUGCGCCUGGUGGGAGGCCACGACUCUCAGGGAAGGGCACAGAAGACGUGCGAUGACCACGCUGCUGAUGUUGGUUGUUUGGGAGAUCUGGAGUGAGAGAAACGCAAGGGUCUUCAGAAACAAGUCCACCUUGCCGUCGCUCAUCAUCGAUCACAUCAAAUGCGUGGCCAAGGAUUGGAUCUCGGCUGGGGCAAAGCAUUUGAGUUAUAUCGUGUCGCGAGAGUAG